rnacentral:lncRNA from 1 species
GGAGUCUCUGUGACCAUGGGGCUCUGAUUAUAAGUUGUGUCUUCACUAGAGGUAAAUAUGGUUAAUUACACAUUAGGAUCAUCUCCCUUUAAGCAAAGUAAUAGGCUGUUCGAAAUCCCAUUUGGGGAUAGUAGGAUGGUGUGUGGUAUUGGGGAAGUAUUCAAAGAUCCAGAGAGCACCAGUUGAAUUCAGACGAUUAAAUGGAUAUCAUUAGAAAAACAAAUUUUAUUAAUAUAACAUUAAAGGACAAUGAAAAUAACAAGAGAUGGAACACAAAGGCCAUAAAAUGUGUGCUAUACAUUGGAUAGGGAUAUAAAAACAUACAAUUCUAUAAAUUGAGUAAUUUUAUUGCCUUUUCAAAACAGUUUUUAGUGACAAACAGUGAUCCCAAAGGAUCACUGCAGUGGGGCUAUCUUCCAUGUUUCAAUAAGCUUUCUUUUUUUCUCUCCUUUUUCCUUUUCCUUUUGAAUGAAAUAUGUGCUCAGCGUUAAGAGUAUGAGCAGCCUCAUUGAUUGCAACAGAACUACUUAUGUGCUUAUAGAUAAGCAAGCAGGGAAGGUAUGCAAGAAUUGCCUGCUUUUUAGUAUGUAUAAAAGCCUUCAAGUAAGAGGUUGCUGCUGUUAA